CGAUGAUGAUGCACGAGUUAAUCCAUUCUCUGAGUCUCUGUGUGUGUGUCUGUGUG
rnacentral:snoRNA from 1 species